GCCAGGCGUGGUGGCACACACUUGUAGUCAUAGCUACUUGUGAGGCUGAGGCAGGAGAAUCCCUUGAGCCCAGGAGUUCUAGGUUACAGUGAGCUAUGAUCAUGCAACUAUACUCCAGCCUGGGCAAUUGAGGGAGACCCUGUCUCUU
rnacentral:SRP_RNA from 1 species